rnacentral:rRNA from 1 species
UACGGAGGGUCCAAGCGUUAUCCGGAUUCAUUGGGUUUAAAGGGUCCGUAGGCGGUUUAGUAAGUCAGUGGUGAAAUCUGGUCGCUCAACGAUCAAACGGCCAUUGAUACUGCUAGACUUGAAUUAUUGUGAGGUAACUAGAAUAUGUAGUGUAGCGGUGAAAUGCUUAGAGAUUACAUGGAAUACCAAUUGCGAAGGCAGGUUACUAACAAUGGAUUGACGCUGAUGGACGAAAGCGUGGGGAGCGAACAGG